rnacentral:rRNA from 1 species
GAUGAACGCUGGCGGCGUGCCUAAUACAUGCAAGUCGAGCGAACGGACGAGAAGCUUGCUUCUCUGAUGUUAGCGGCGGACGGGUGAGUAACACGUGGAUAACCUACCUAUAAGACUGGGAUAACUUCGGGACACCGGAGCUAAUACCGGAUGAUAUUUUGAACCGCAUGGUUCAAAAGUGAAAGACGGUCUUGCUGUCACUUAUAGAUGGAUCCGCGCUGCAUUAGCUAGUUGGUAAGGUAACGGCUUACCAAGGCAACGAUGCAUAGCCGACCUGAGAGGGUGAUCGGCCACACUGGAAGUGAGACACGGUCCAGACGCCUACGGGAGGCAGCAGUAGGGAAUAUUCCGCAAUGGGCGAAAGCCUGACGGAGCAACGCCGCGUGAGUGAUGAAGGACUUCGGAUCGUAAAACUCUGUUAUUAGGGAAGAACAUAUGUGUAAGUAACUGUGCACAUCUUGACGGUACCUAAUCAGAAAGCCACGGCUAACUACGUG